GGGUUGUAAAGCACUUUCAGUGGGGAGGAAAGGUCGAAGGUUAAUACCCUUUGGCUGUGACGUUACCCACAGAAGAAGCACCGGCUAACUCCGUGCCAGCAGCCGCGGUAAUACGGAGGGUGCGAGCGUUAAUCGGAAUUACUGGGCGUAAAGCGUGCGUAGGCGGCCAUUUAAGUUGGAUGUGAAAGCCCCGGGCUCAACCUGGGAACUGCAUCCAAAACUGGGUGGCUUGAGUGCGAGAGAGGAGUGUGGAAUUUCCUGUGUAGCGGUGAAAUGCGUAGAUAUAGGAAGGAACACCAGUGGCGAAGGCGACACUCUGGCUUGACACUGACGCUGAGGUACGAAAGCGUGGGGAGCAAACAGGAUUAGAUACCCUGGUAGUCCACGCCGUAAACGAUGUCUACUAGUUGUCGGUGGUCUUGUACUGCUGGUAACGCAGCUAACGCGAUAAGUAGACCGCCUGGGGA
rnacentral:rRNA from 1 species